GAUGAACGCUAGCGGCAGGCCUAACACAUGCAAGUCGAGGGGUAGAACACUUCGGUGUUUGAGACCGGCGCACGGGUGCGUAACGCGUAUGCAAUCUACCUUGUACAGGGGAAUAGCCCAGAGAAAUUUGGAUUAAUGCCCCAUAGUAUAUAACCUUCGCAUGUUGGUUAUAUUAAAGUUCCAACGGUACAAGAUGAGCAUGCGUCCCAUUAGUUAGUUGGUAAGGUAACGGCUUACCAAGACGAUGAUGGGUAGGGGUCCUGAGAGGGAGAUCCCCCAAACUGGUACUGAGACACGGACCAGACUCCUACGGGAGGCAGCAGUGAGGAAUAUUGGUCAAUGGGCGCAAGCCUGAACCAGCCAUGCCGCGUGCAGGAAGACGGUCCUAUGGAUUGUAAACUGCUUUUAUACAGGAAGAAACAACUCUACGUGUAGAGUCUUGACGAUACUGUAGGAAUAAGGAUCGGCUAACUCCGUGCCAGCAGCCGCCGUAAUAC
rnacentral:rRNA from 1 species